rnacentral:rRNA from 1 species
CCCAGUAGCGGCGAGCGAACGGGGAGGAGCCCAGAGCCUGAAUCAGUGUGUGUGUUAGUGGAAGCGUCUGGAAAGGCGCGCGAUACAGGGUGACAGCCCCGUACACAAAAAUGCACAUACUGUGAGCUCGAUGAGUAGGGCGGGACACGUGGUAUCCUGUCUGAAUAUGGGGGGACCAUCCUCCAAGGCUAAAUACUCCUGACUGACCGAUAGUGAACCAGUACCGUGAGGGAAAGGCGAAAAGAACCCCGGCGAGGGGAGUGAAAAAGAACCUGAAACCGUGUACGUACAAGCAGUGGGAGCCUCUUUUAUGGGGUGACUGCGUACCUUUUGUAUAAUGGGUCAGCGACUUAUAUUCUGUAGCAAGGUUAACCGAAUAGGGGAGCCGAAGGGAAACCGAGUCUUAACUGGGCGUUAAGUUGCAGGGUAUAGACCCGAAACCCGGUGAUCUAGCCAUGGGCAGGUUGAAGGUUGGGUAACACUAACUGGAGGACCGAACCGACUAAUGUUGAAAAAUUAGCGGAUGACUUGUGGCUGGGGGUGAAAGGCCAAUCAAACCGGGAGAUAGCUGGUUCUCCCCGAAAGCUAUUUAGGUAGCGCCUCGUGAAUUCAUCUCCGGGGGUAGAGCACUGUUUCGGCAAGGGGGUCAUCCCGACUUACCAACCCGAUGCAAACUGCGAAUACCGGAGAAUGUUAUCACGGGAGACACACGGCGGGUGCUAACGUCCGUCGUGAAGAGGGAAACAACCCAGACCGCCAGCUAAGGUCCCAAAGUCAUGGUUAAGUGGGAAACGAUGUGGGAAGGCCCAGACAGCCAGGAUGUUGGCUUAGAAGCAGCCAUCAUUUAAAGAAAGCGUAAUAGCUCACUGGUCGAGUCGGCCUGCGCGGAAGAUGUAACGGGGCUAAACCAUGCACCGAAGCUGCGGCAGCGACGCUUAUGCGUUGUUGGGUAGGGGAGCGUUCUGUAAGCCUGUGAAGGUGUACUGUGAGGUAUGCUGGAGGUAUCAGAAGUGCGAAUGCUGACAUAAGUAACGAUAAAGCGGGUGAAAAGCCCGCUCGCCGGAAGACCAAGGGUUCCUGUCCAACGUUAAUCGGGGCAGGGUGAGUCGACCCCUAAGGCGAGGCCGAAAGGCGUAGUCGAUGGGAAACAGGUUAAUAUUCCUGUACUUGGUGUUACUGCGAAGGGGGGACGGAGAAGGCUAUGUUGGCCGGGCGACGGUUGUCCCGGUUUAAGCGUGUAGGCUGGUUUUCCAGGCAAAUCCGGAAAAUCAAGGCUGAGGCGUGAUGACGAGGCACUACGGUGCUGAAGCAACAAAUGCCCUGCUUCCAGGAAAAGCCUCUAAGCAUCAGGUAACAUCAAAUCGUACCCCAAACCGACACAGGUGGUCAGGUAGAGAAUACCAAGGCGCUUGAGAGAACUCGGGUGAAGGAACUAGGCAAAAUGGUGCCGUAACUUCGGGAGAAGGCACGCUGAUAUGUAGGUGAAGCGACUUGCUCGUGGAGCUGAAAUCAGUCGAAGAUACCAGCUGGCUGCAACUGUUUAUUAAAAACACAGCACUGUGCAAACACGAAAGUGGACGUAUACGGUGUGACGCCUGCCCGGUGCCGGAAGGUUAAUUGAUGGGGUUAGCGGUAACGCGAAGCUCUUGAUCGAAGCCCCGGUAAACGGCGGCCGUAACUAUAACGGUCCUAAGGUAGCGAAAUUCCUUGUCGGGUAAGUUCCGACCUGCACGAAUGGCGUAAUGAUGGCCAGGCUGUCUCCACCCGAGACUCAGUGAAAUUGAACUCGCUGUGAAGAUGCAGUGUACCCGCGGCAAGACGGAAAGACCCCGUGAACCUUUACUAUAGCUUGACACUGAACAUUGAGCCUUGAUGUGUAGGAUAGGUGGGAGGCUUUGAAGUGUGGACGCCAGUCUGCAUGGAGCCGACCUUGAAAUACCACCCUUUAAUGUUUGAUGUUCUAACGUUGGCCCCUGAUCGGGGUUGCGGACAGUGUCUGGUGGGUAGUUUGACUGGGGCGGUCUCCUCCUAAAGAGUAACGGAGGAGCACGAAGGUUGGCUAAUCCUGGUCGGACAUCAGGAGGUUAGUGCAAUGGCAUAAGCCAGCUUGACUGCGAGCGUGACGGCGCGAGCAGGUGCGAAAGCAGGUCAUAGUGAUCCGGUGGUUCUGAAUGGAAGGGCCAUCGCUCAACGGAUAAAAGGUACUCCGGGGAUAACAGGCUGAUACCGCCCAAGAGUUCAUAUCGACGGCGGUGUUUGGCACCUCGAUGUCGGCUCAUCACAUCCUGGGGCUGAAGUAGGUCCCAAGGGUAUGGCUGUUCGCCAUUUAAAGUGGUACGCGAGCUGGGUUUAGAACGUCGUGAGACAGUUCGGUCCCUAUCUGCCGUGGGCGCUGGAGAACUGAGGGGGGCUGCUCCUAGUACGAGAGGACCGGAGUGGACGCAUCACUGGUGUUCGGGUUGUCAUGCCAAUGGCACUGCCCGGUAGCUAAAUGCGGAAGAGAUAAGUGCUGAAAGCAUCUAAGCACGAAACUUGCCCCGA